rnacentral:rRNA from 1 species
GACGAACGCUGGCGGCGUGCCUAACACAUGCAAGUCGAACGGGGUAAAGAGCUUCGGUUUUUUACUUAGUGGCGAACGGGUGAGUAACGCGUGAGAAACCUGCCUUUCAGUGGGGGACAACAGUUGGAAACGACUGCUAAUACCGCAUAAUGUUAUUUGGGGGCAUCCCUGAAUAACCAAAGAUUUAUUGCUGAAAGAUGGUCUCGCGUCUGAUUAGCUAGAUGGCGGGGUAACGGCCCACCAUGGCGACGAUCAGUAGCCGGUCUGAGAGGAUGAACGGCCACAUUGGGACUGAGAUACGGCCCAGACUCCUACGGGAGGCAGCAGUGGGGAAUAUUGCACAAUGGGGGAAACCCUGAUGCAGCAACGCCGCGUGAGUGAUGACGGUCUUCGGAUUGUAAAGCUCUGUCUUUAGGGACGAUAAUGACGGUACCUAAGGAGGAAGCCACGGCUAACUACGUG